UUAAUGCGUUAGGGAUUGUAACGACAUCCUUUUUCUUUUUUCAAGAAAAAGAUAUAGUGAAAAGCCCGCUCGAAC
rnacentral:sRNA from 1 species